CCGAGUUUACAACUCCCAAAACCCCUGUGAACAUACCACUUGUUGCCUCGGCGGAUCAGCCCGCUCCCGGUAAAACGGGACGGCCCGCCAGAGGACCCCCUAAACUCUGUUUCUAUAUGUAACUUCUGAGUAAAACCAUAAAUAAAUCA
rnacentral:misc_RNA from 1 species